rnacentral:misc_RNA from 1 species
GCCAGCUCCAUGAAUCUUGUCAGAACCUGAGCCUGAAAAAUCUCCAACCCUCUUGGGACUUCUGUUCAUCUUCAUACCCUCAUUGAGGCGUCUAGCAACUGUCCUCCUAGACCGCCUUUUCUUUGUCACAGACUUCCAACUCAGCUCAAGAUCUAUAGACUUUGCAACUUCCGGACUUACAGUAUUAAGCAUGUUGCCAGAUAUGGAUCCCAUCAACUUACAAACUCCCUCCACAAGUCUUGUGUAACGUCUCAAUAGGCUUUUUUCUCUUAAUUGACCUCCUCAAAUGUCGAUUUUAAAUUAUCAGGACAUGUACACAAGCGAGUCUAAGGUUUUGAAGAUGAGUCAUUCCAGGAAUGGGGCCCCGGGAACAAUCUGAUGGUUGGCUUAGGUAUCUGGGUAUUCAAUCCCUCCACUGAGAUGCUUAGUUGACUCCUCAAUCUCUUGUUUAAUGAGCUAUUUCUGACCUCCCACCACAGAUCCUGUUAAUUUUCUUCCCAACAAACAAAAAUUAAACUCGCCGACAAGUACAGAUUCCGCGACGACUUCUUCUACUCAAAACUUGACGAUCCUCUUCAGAAAGAAUGCGAUCUUCGCAGAAACAACUAAAAUCUUCAGGUCUCGCUAACAGAAACAAUGGUAGAUCCUUCUUCUUCUUCUUGAUAUAUUGGUUUAAUCAUGUGAAUAAAGAAAACAAAACAAAUCUCAGCCGGAAAACUCGAUCGGCGACGCCAAUCACUCGCCGGAAACUAGCCUUGCGAUAGUCGACGUUUUGUUGUUA